GACGUAGGAUGCAAGCGUUGUCCGGAUUUAUUGGGCGUAAAGAGUUCGCUGAGGUCGUUAGUUAGUCGAUGUUAAAGACUGGGGCUCAACCCUGGGAGUGCAUUGGAUACUGGCGGACUGGAGUGCAGUAGAGGCAAGCGGAAUUCCAGGUGUAGCGGUGAAAUGCGUAGAUAUCAGGAGGAACACCGGUGGCGAAGGCGGGUCUCUGGGCCGUAACUGACGCUGAGGAGCGAAAGCGUGGGGAGCGAACAGG
rnacentral:rRNA from 1 species